AUUGAACGCUGGCGGCAUGCUUUACACAUGCAAGUCGAACGGCAGCGCGGGCUUCGGCUUGGCGGCGAGUGGCGAACGGGUGAGUAAUACAUCGGAACGUGCCCAGUAGUGGGGGAUAGCUCGGCGAAAGCCGGAUUAAUACCGCAUACGACCUGAGGGUGAAAGCGGGGGAUCUUCGGACCUCGCGCUAUUGGAGCGGCCGAUGGCAGAUUAGCUAGUUGGUGGGGUAAAGGCCUACCAAGGCGACGAUCUGUAGCUGGUCUGAGAGGACGACCAGCCACACUGGGACUGAGACACGGCCCAGACUCCUACGGGAGGCAGCAGUGGGGAAUUUUGGACAAUGGGCGAAAGCCUGAUCCAGCAAUGCCGCGUGUGUGAUGAAGGCCUUCGGGUUGUAAAGCACUUUUGGCGGGAACGAAAAGGACCGUGCCAAUACCAUGGUCUGAUGACGGUACCC
rnacentral:rRNA from 1 species